ensembl:rRNA 5S_rRNA 5S ribosomal RNA
GCUUACGGCCAUACCUCUCUGGCUCCGCCUGAUCUCGUCUGAUCUCAGAAGCUAAGCAGAGUAGGGCCUGGUUAGUACUUGGAUGGAAGACCGCCUGGGAAUCCCAGGUGCUGUACGCU